UACGGAGGGUGCAAGCGUUGUCCGGAUUUAUUGGGUUUAAAGGGUGCGUAGGCGGCCCUGUAAGUCAGUGGUGAAAUACUGCAGCUUAACUGUAGCAUUGCCAUUGAUACUGUAGGGCUUGAGUACAGAUGAGGUAGGCGGAAUUGAUGGUGUAGCGGUGAAAUGCAUAGAUACCAUCAAGAACACCGAUUGCGAAGGCAGCUUACUAAGCUGUAACUGACGCUGAGGCACGAAAGCGUGGGGGUCGAACAGG
rnacentral:rRNA from 1 species